UCUGAGAAUUUUGCUCAGAUACCACAGGAGACUGACCUUGGCAUGUCAAGGUAACGUUCAGAGCGUGGGUACUUUGCCAAGGACUGGCUGUCGGAGCUCCUCACGAUCACUCAGCCACUGGAGAUGCCUCCUUCCCUGGCAGUACUGCAAAACUGGAGUUUAGGAGCUGUUUCUCUCUGAGGUGCUGCGGACCAGCUGCUC